UACGGAGUAGGUCCCGAUGCGUUAAGUGCCGCAGGAACGGAAUGUGAACUGCGGACGAAGAGUUUAACUCGCGGUGUCGGGACCGCAUUCGCCGCA
rnacentral:ncRNA from 2 species